CAACUUCACAGGAAAGAUGCACCACAGACACCUAAUUGGCCAUCUACAGAAAGACAUCAGCUGCCGGGCGAAGAGCUAUUGGGCCAGUAACCAGAACCUGGGCAUGACGUCAUUUGUCAACUCUAAAAACGACUACUUCGCUGGGGUUAAGAUCUUUAAGAAGGGGACGACAAC